UACGUAGGGGGCGAGCGUUGUCCGGAUUUGUUGGGCGUAAAGAGCUCGUAGGCGGUCUGUCGCGUCAGCUGUGAAAACCCGAGGCUCAACCUCGGGCCUGCAGUCGAUACGGGCAAACUAGAGUACUGCAGGGGAGACUGGAAUUCCUGGUGUAGCGGUGAAAUGCGCAGAUAUCAGGAGGAACACCGGUGGCGAAGGCGGGUCUCUGGGCAGUAACUGACGCUGAGGAGCGAAAGCGUGGGGAGCGAACAGG
rnacentral:rRNA from 1 species